rnacentral:RNase_P_RNA from 1 species
UCGGGUAAUCGCUGCCGCCUUUCGAGAGCGGUAGAGGAAAGUCCAUGCUCGCACAGGCUGAGAUGCCUGUAGUGUUCGUGCCUAGUGAAAAAAUAAGCUAGGGCAGCCUUGAUGGGCUGACGGCCGGGAUACUGCCUAAGUCCUUAUGGAUAUGGCAUGACCCUAUAAAAGUGCCACAGUGACGUAGCCUUUCCAGAAAUGGAAAGGGUGGAACGGGUAAACCCCGCGAGCGAGAAACCCAAAUUUAGGUAGGGGAACCUUUCACCGCGGAAAUGAACGGGGUAAAGGACAGAAUGUUUUUUCUGUAGAUAGAUGAUUGCCGCUUUUGUACGAGGCCUAACAAUGGCCAUUUGCAGUACGAAAGAACAAAACAUGGCUUACAG